UUAUCCUCAUAAGUUUGACAAUAAGAGAAACCAUGUAAUAUUAAAUUAGCCAUAAUUUAAUUAAUUAUAUGGUAUAAUAAAAUCGGAGGCCACGACUGUUUACUAAAAACACAAUUCAGAGCAAUAAUUAAGAUAAUAGUAUUCUGGAUGAAAUUUGCCCAAUGCCAUUAAUAUAAGAAAGGUAAUUUUAAAGUUACUAAUUGAAAGUCUGGUUAAUAGCGGUCUUAACUAUGAGGAUCCUAAGGUAGCAAAAUAAAUUGGCCAUUAAAUGUGGUCUUGUAUCAAUAAUGUAACGAUGGUCUCACUGUCUCUACAACUUGCUCAGUGAAAUUGAAUUGCGAGUGCAGAUGCUCGCUGUCUUCAGGGGGACGGGAAGACCCUAU
rnacentral:rRNA from 1 species